UAGCUCAAUUUUCUCUUCAUUGUCGCAUAAAUCUUUCGCCUUUUACUAAAGAUUUCCGUGGAGAAGAACUCUUUGCGAGUGACCUGUGUUUUUGGAGGCUCUGCUCAAGGCAGAGCU
ensembl:snRNA U5 U5 spliceosomal RNA